rnacentral:misc_RNA from 1 species
GAGAUAAAACAAUUCUUAGUUAUACAUAGACGGAAAAGUUUAGACCAUGGGGCACUUGUGAAUGUUGAAUGUCGAUCACUGACUAUGGAUUUUGGUAAGUUAUGGAGUUUGAACGUGAAGUGAAAGAAGGUUGCCACCAUUGAUGUUGUAUAGAGGUGAGGUAGAGGACAAAGGUGACAAUAUUGGGAAAAUCUAUCCAUGACCAUUAACA